rnacentral:rRNA from 1 species
AACGGUAAAAGAUGAGCAUGCGUCCCGUUAGUUAGUUGGUAAGGUAACGGCUUACCAAGACGAUGAUGGGUAGGGGUCCUGAGAGGGAGAUCCCCCACACUGGUACUGAGACACGGACCAGACUCCUACGGGAGGCAGCAGUGAGGAAUAUUGGACAAUGGGCGCAAGCCUGAUCCAGCCAUGCCGCGUGCAGGAAGAAGCAUCUAUGGUGUGUAAACUGCUUUUGUACGGGAAGAAACACUCCCUCGUGAGGGAGCUUGACGGUACCGUAAGAAUAAGGAUCGGCUAACUCCGUGCCAGCAGCCGCGGUAAUACGGAGGAUCCAAGCGUUAUCCGGAAUCAUUGGGUUUAAAGGGUCCGUAGGCGGUUUAAUAAGUCAGUGGUGAAAUCUGGUCGCUCAACGAUCAAACGGCCAUUGAUACUGUUAGACUUGAAUUACAAGGAAGUAACUAGAAUAUGUAGUGUAGCGGUGAAAUGCUUAGAUAUUACAUGGAAUACCAAUUGCGAAGGCAGGUUACUACUUGUGGAUUGACGCUGAUGGACGAAAGCGUGGGGAGCGAACAGGAUUAGAU